AUCGAGAGUUCUCCUGUGGCCGACGUGGCCGCUUCUCCGCGCUCGCGAGGGAGAGAGGAAGAGAGAAAGGGAGAGAAAGAGAGAGAGGAGGGGGGGCUGCGUGCGGGCGACCCGCGCCCGCAGCACGCGCAAGAAAGGAAGAGAGAGGAGGAAAGAGAGAGAAAGAGAGAGCAGACAGAGAGAGUGAAGAGAGAGAGAGUAGAUAGACAGAGGGGAAGAGAGAGAGAGAGAGAAAGUAGAUAGAGAGA
rnacentral:lncRNA from 1 species